UAAAGCACAGCAGUAAAAGUCCCAAACCAAAACCCUAGGUUCUUUGGUGCCGUCGUCCCAGGCUCAGCGCUUCCGCUUCUCUGACCGUGACUUGGAGCAGCUCGCCAUUGGGUCACCGCUUGCGGUGGUCUCUGCUCUCGCCGAAGGUUAGUGGCCUUGCUUUUAAUUUUGCUCUGGUUGCUGAAUGUUCGGUUUUUUCUUCUUCCUUUUAAUUUCUAAAAUUUUUGUUCAAAUGUUGUUGUAAUGUUUGUUGCUGUGUUGUAAUUGUUGAAUUAUUGAAUGAUUAUUUGAUCUGGGUUGCCUAAAUAUGCUUCCUUUUACUGUGAUUUGAUAUGGAUUUUGGUGGAUCAUUGUGGAUGAAAUUGCCUUUUGAUAUCUAUCAUUUGCUAAUAUAACUACAUAAGUGCAAAUGCUUUCAAUAUUGAUGCUUUGAUUUGAAGAUUUCUACUUUGCUUCAGCUUUAUUGCUCUUUGUCUACUUGAAGAUUGUUGAUCUGCUUGCUUUAUUUAUAUAUAAAUAAUGUAUUUUGAUUAGUUUUUUCCCCAGUUUAUUGAUUUUGAUUCCCUUGUCUGUUUUGAUUUUACAUCUAGAAUCAGGAAUAAAUAUUUAAACUAUUAGUCUCUAAAAUUUGAGUUAGAUAAAUAUUUAAACCAUCACAUCGUAUAAGAUCCUUAUCUCAAAGAGCUUCUCGCAAGUUACACUUCUGACAAUAUUUCUAGAUGUAGAUAAAAUAUGUUAAUGACUACAUGGAUUUAAAAUUGUAAAACUUCCACGCAAAUAUAAGGUGAUAAACAUGCUCAUGAGUCUAUAAAUGAACACAAAAUGCUUGAACAUUACAAAUUGAAUCUUUUCACAGUUUUUGUUUGCUCACAUAUUCAUGGCAGUUAGAUCCAUCUGGAACAAUGACAGAAUUUUCGCUGCUAUUCAACGAACUAAGAGAAUCCAACUGGUGAAUAGCAUCACGAAUACUAAGUUUACAUUUUAAAAUCUGCUUUCGUGCUCUUUGUAGCUCCUUUUCUGGCCUAAUCUUUUCUCUACUGCAAUUGGCAUUUCCAUAAAAGUUACAUCAGGGUAAGGUAGCUAAUAGUUAAUUUAUCACCAUGCCUUACUGCAAAAAGGCUAACAGCUAUUUAUAACCAAUAAUUAAAAUCAAUGAACAAAAGGGUAACAACUACUUACAUGACCAAGGAAAGGGGAAGUAUAAAUAUUUUCUUACAAAAAAAAAAACAAAGGACAACAAAAGGUUUAUAUUACCUCUGGCCUUUCCAACUUUCUCCAGAGUAAGCAUCAAUAAGGUUCUGCUCUAGCUUCAUUUUGAUUAAUAGAUAUCUUGUUCUUAUCUUGAGGCGAGAAGCAUCAUCGAUAUCUGCAUUAUAUAAAAUUUUAAAGAAUUUUAAAAAAUAAAUUAUUUUUUGUUAUAAACAUGUUUAUUAUAAUUUUUUUAAGUUUUAAAAUCUAUUUUACCAAACAUAAUUGUAGUGCUUGUGCUUAUUAAAAGUCAUUUUUAAUUUGAUUUUACCAAACGUUAAUGCUGCAGCUUUUAAACCUUCAUCAUGGAUCCUUCAUCACAUUCUAUAUAAUCUUUAUAAAUAACGAAAAAAAAUUCACUUAUUAUUAUCUCAUAUAGAUUUAUCUAAUAUCUAACAUCAUUGUUAUCCUUACCUUAUCAAAUAGAACACUUUUCACGUGGGUAAGUUACCAGAGAAGCAUGUGACUAAAAUUGUGAUCUUAGAACAUGGUAGUUGAAAUAAAAUAGGUGCAUUGAGUAAAUUUUAUCACUAGAAAAAGUGCAAAAAGAAUAAAAAGAAAAUUAUAGUGGAUCAUACUCAAUUUUCAGGAUUGUCACAAUACACAUAUUUUAUAACAAUUUGAUCACCGGUGAAAACUCAUACAACAAACUCUCUUUUGUUGAUUUGAGGAGCUAUUUAAUUUAGCCAACUCAGAUUCAAGUGCUACUUCUCAGUACCAAUUUAGCAUUACCGGUUUUGAGUUCUAUAAUGAACAGGUCAUGUUCUCUUUUACUUACUGUAUACAACUUUUCUGGUAUUCACUGUUUGCUUCCUGGUUUUGGUUGGCAAUUUUCUUGUAUACAACUCUUAAAGUUGUUUAUUUAAAAAAAGCCAAGUUCCUAGUUUUUUUAAGUUAUCUUGGAAGUGAUUAUACUCCUUGUACAGAUUGCACAGAAUAUAAGAACUCAAGUAAGACUUUAUGUCACUAUUUAGCUAUUCUUUGUAAAAUGAGUGGAGGAACUUUAAUUUGCUUUUAAAAUAAUAAAAAUAAUUUCUAACUAUAUAGAGCAGACCAAAAAAUACUUAAUAUGCUAAUCUAAUUCCUUUGAACAAACUAGGGUCCCUGAGCUUGAAAAUUUUUCGUUUGAUGUUAACCGACUUAGACUUAAUUAUUUAAGUCUCAUUUUUUGUUCCUGCAUGUGCUUUCUUUCUUUCUUUUUAUCCGUGCCUAUAUUGUGAGUUUUAACACUGUAUGAUAGGACCAUAAAUUUUUGUGGAGAGUAUAUAAUAGAGAGAGGCCAGUUGAUGUAUAGUGUAAUUCAUUGUAGAGAGAAAGCUAUGAUUCUGAUUUCUUCUUUUAUGAUCAAUAACAAAGCACAAAACUUAAUUCCUUUUUUUUCUAUAGUUUAUUGCUUUCUAUCUUUCUGAUUCAAGAUAGUUUCACUUAGUUUUCUUGCCAAAACUGAUAAGCAGCAUCUCACGAAUUUUAUUUAUAAUGCCUAGCAACCUCUUGAGUAUUUUUCUGACUUCUUUUAUGUUGGUGCAUUGGUUCUUUUAAUCAACAUUACAACUUGAAAGUGAGUCAGGCAUUUUUCUAUCAGAUAAAGAGGUACUUAUUUAUUUGCUACUCUAUUAAACUUUAAAGUAUCAUGUAUAAUUUAAACCUAUGCUUGCAAAUGAAUCAAUUUCUUGGAGGUGGUAUCCUUGACUCUUCAGGAUCAUUACCACUUGGACUGCACAAUCAUAUAGAACUCCUUUCAAACAAAAGUUUUUAUUACAAACACACAUCUAAUGCUUUCUUGACUUUGACUCUAGCAGGAAAUCGUGAAACAGUAACAAUGGCUAUGAUGAGUAUGAAUUUAUAACGGUUUUCUGCUUGAAAUCCAACAAUGUUAACAAGCUAAGAAAAAGUGAAUAGUUUCCUAGUCUUAGUUGAGGCCAAGGUAACUUGGAAUUAAAGAUAGAA
rnacentral:lncRNA from 1 species